CUUCACCACUAGUCACAUCGAUAAUCAUGAUGGGGAGGGCCUUGAAUUAUUUGAAUUCAGAGCUCCACAUUCAUGAAUCCAGCUAUGCUGUCAUAGGGUGCUCUCUGGAGAGACGCAAGUCCUCGUUUAGUAAGAGUGAGAUCUUAUAGACAACAAAAAAAUAUCAGAAACUUCUCAGAGCCAUAGCUGAGCUGCUGAUUCUGCAGGUUUCCAGCGACAACAAGAAGCAAUGGCCCACACCAAACAUACUGCAGCAUGCCUGGAAUCCCAGCACCUGAGAGGCUGAAGCAGGAGGAUCCCUGUGAGUUCAAAGCCAGCCUGGGCUACAUAGUGAGUCCAAGACCAGCCUGGACUAUAGGGCAAGACCUGUCUCAAUAAAUACAUACAUAAUACAUACAUACAUACGUACAUACGUACAGACAUAGUGGCCUGAGACACUGGGGUCAGCCUGAAGCAAGCUUUCUGCCCCGCAGCCCAUCCAGCCAAACCCAUGGCCUACAUGCAACUGUGAAGCCGGAGGUGAAACUUGCUUGGGUUAACAGCAAACAAAACAAAACACAAGGAACUCUGCCACAGAGCAGGAAUUCCGAGCUGCUCCUCCUUCUCUGGACGCCAAGGAAGCCACCCUGCCCGGAGGGCUCCCAUCUGUGUUGUGUGGUGCCGGUGAGAACCUGGCGGUGAGCCCAGUUGCCAACGAGCUUCCUCCAGUCCCUCUCAUCCGCCGGAAGGCAGAUGCUGGGGAGGAGCUCAUCCGGCCCUCCCGGGGUUUCAUCCACCCAGGAAGACAAACUCGCAUCCCAAGGGAGGAGACUAGAUGCAAGUCAGACUCAGCCGGGGAACGCCGACUGCCCUCCUUCCCGCCAUCCCGCUCCCCUUCUGCCGCCCGCCGGCCCGCCCCCAUACUCACACAGCAGCCCCAGGACCUCGCAGUUAGCAGCCCGACGCCAGGGAACCCUCGGGCACCGCUGUAGUUCUCAGCGAGCGGGGCUGGUCAGUAGGAGCUCACAGAGCAGAAUGAAAGUAAGGACCUCACAGUGGGGGUUUUUCUUACCUCUAAUAUUAGCAAGUAAAACGUUAGCUGAAAUUUGCAUUGUUCGGUUCGGUUCUUUCCCUUCAGAAUUUCAGUACCCCUUUCCUCGCGCUCAACUCCCAAUUCUCCCAAAGUCUACACUGCCCUCUGAUGGCAGCAAAUCGUUAUUUCAGGUCCCCUUUGGUAUUACAGAUUAAAUAACCAACUCUUAAAUCCUGGUGAUCAGACAUAUUUCAAAUACUUGGUUUUCUAGGAUUUUAGGAUACUCCCAAAUGCAUAAUAAGUAUGUUGGAAAUGGGACCCAAGCCUCCAUAUGGAAUCCAUUUGUGUUUCAUGUACACUUUACACACCAGAGGAAGAAAAUGGU
rnacentral:lncRNA from 1 species